ACCUAGACCCGAUUGAAGUGGACGCGAAGCAAAACGGAAAGCGGGGAGAAAC
rnacentral:sRNA from 1 species